ACAACAUCCAAACAGCUGCGAAGGCACCGGCACCGCAUUGUGCAAGAGCAAGACCGCUCGCCGGCUCCGAGCUCUCCGCAUUAUCCCCAGUCAAAGUACCUAACCGGAGCUGCGGCCACCAAGAGCUGCGGCCAAAUACCUAACCGGAGGAACCGCCCGUUAGCUUCGUCUAGAGUUUUGCUGGUCUCGCCGCCGCAGAUCUGACCCGUCGUGCCGCGUUUCGCUGAGAUGGCAAUCACAGUGAGGCGAUUGACGAUGGUGUUGUCGGAGCGGGAGGUGCAACGGCGACAGCCGUGGAAUCCCAACCUCGACCUUGUGGAGUCCUAAAAAAAGGGGAAAAAAACUCGACCUUGUGGUGCCGCGCAGCAAGCCGAGUGUCUAUCUCUACCGAGCCGCGCUGGAAGGUUCUUCGACGGAGAGCGGAUGCGGCACGCUCCGGCGGAGGCGCUCGUGCCGUUCGAUCCGAUUGCGGGCCGGCUCACGCGGGACGAGGACGGAAGGGUGGAGAUCGGCUACAAUGGGGAGGGAGGUGCUCUUCGUCGAGGCUGCUGCUCCGGCACCGCCAUUGAUUACUACAGCGACUUCGCGCUCACCGUGGACUUCAAGCACAUCAUCCUGGCGGUAUACUACAACAAUCAUCCCGGCCAGUUGACGGCAUUUCAGCCUUCCCCCUCCUCGUGCUCAGGUGAGCUCAGAAUGCAUUACAAGCUGCACAUGACGACUAAAUUGGCAUACUUUAUGUUUUGUACCUGAUUGAAAAGUUUGUGACUGAUGCAAUCGCAACCAUGCUUUAUAAUGGCGAAUCAUGUAACCUUGAAUUCUGCUCCUGUUAUUUAAAUUGUCAGUAACGUCAGGUUGGGAGUUGGGUCUCUUGUUUGACUGAUUUUUAAUCCUCAGAGACACUUUUACCCUGGUUGUUGCUGUCUUGUUCUCCUUUAUGGGAGCUCUAUUCUUGGCUUGAUUUGUCAAAUGAUCUGAAGCGGUGCUUGGUUAUGCUUAAAGUGUCUGCUACCAUCAAUGUAUUCAUCAGUGUCCAAUGAAAUAAACUCUUGCUUAAUCUUGAAUAGCUAGGAGCAAAUUAUUAACAAAUUGACAAGUGGUUGUAUUUUAUUGGUUUGUCGAUAUUUGCCAUAUAAUCAAUGUUGGCAUGCUUUUGCUUGCAUCAUAUCAAAGCACACACUGGUCAAGAAGGUUGGUGAUCAGAAAUUGAGAAUAUAGUCUUGCAAAA